rnacentral:rRNA from 1 species
ACGGAAGGUUCGGGCGUUAUCCGGAUUUAUUGGGUUUAAAGGGAGCGUAGGCCGUUUGGUAAGCGUGUUGUGAAAUGUAGUAGCUCAACUUCUAGAUUGCAGCGCGAACUGUCAGACUUGAGUGCGCACAACGUAGGCGGAAUUCAUGGUGUAGCGGUGAAAUGCUUAGAUAUCAUGAAGAACUCCGAUUGCGAAGGCAGCUUACGGGAGCGCAACUGACGCUGAAGCUCGAAGGUGCGGGUAUCGAACAG